rnacentral:rRNA from 1 species
CUGGCGGCGUGCCUAACACAUGCAAGUCGAACGAGAAAGUGGAGCAAUCCAUGAGUAAAGUGGCGCACGGGUGAGUAACACGUGACUAACCUACCCUUGAGUGGGGGAUAACUGAGGGAAACCUUAGCUAAUACCGCAUAAUACCUACGGGUCAAAGGAGCAAUUCGCUCGAGGAGGGGGUCGCGGCCGAUUAGUUAGUUGGCGGGGUAAUGGCCCACCAAGACUAUGAUCGGUAUCCGGCCUGAGAGAGCGCACGGACACACUGGAACUGAAACACGGUCCAGACUCCUACGGGAGGCAGCAGUGGGGAAUUUUGCGCAAUGGGGGAAACCCUGACGCAGCAACGCCGCGUGGAGGAUGAAGUCCUUCGGGACGUAAACUCCUUUCGAUCGGGACGAUUAUGACGGUACCGGAAGAAGAAGCCCCGGCUAACUUCGUGCCAGCAGCCCGGGUAAUACGAGGGGGGCGAGC